rnacentral:rRNA from 1 species
UGGGGAAUUUUCCGCAAUGGGCGAAAGCCUGACGGAGUGACGCCGCGUGGGGGACGAAGGCCUUCGGGUUGUAAACCCCUGCCAGAGGGAAAGAAGGGUGUCGGCGCGAUAACCGCCGGCACUUGACGGUACCUUCAGAGGAAGCCCCGGCCAACUCCGGGCCAGCAGCCGCGGUAAGACAGAGGGGGCAAGCGUUGCUCGGAAGCACUGGGCGUAAAGGGCGCGUAGGCGGGAUGGCAAGUCAGUCGUGAAAUCUCUCGGCUCAACCGAGAAACGUCGGCUGAUACUGCCGUUCUUGAGGGAUGCAGAGGAGACUGGAAUUCCCGGUGUAGCGGUGAAAUGUGUAGAGAUCGGGAGGAACACCGGUGGCGAAGGCGGGUCUCUGGGCAUUUCCUGACGCUGAGGCGCGAAAGCGUGGGGAGCAA